UCAUGACCUGAGUCAAAAGCAGACACUUGACCAACUGAGCCAGCCAGGCAGCCCAGAAAUAUUUUCCUUUCACCUAGUAUUUGUUUAACAUGAAAAAGAUGUUUUACACUCAUUUCAUGUUUUGGUGAAUUUAGUUCUUGAAAGUGAAAGCUAAUAACAGUGUUCAUUUAUGAAUCACUCUGCACUCAGUGACGGGAGGUCUAUAUAUCAAUUUUAUCAAGGUUUUCCUAAUUUAUUCACAACCUAUGUAGCCAGUAAGUAGCAUUUCUUCCUACACUCAGGGGAAGCUUGUUGCACUUAAAGCACAACCCUCCUGUUUAAAAGCUGUACAGUUUCUGUUAGUUGUGCUCUGUUCUUUGGUUCAGAAAUUGCCUUGAAAUAGUUAAAACUACAACACACAAGGUAUGUUAUAAAAUGAUGAAAAUAAUACAAUAUUCAUGACUAUAGUACUAGAAAUAAUUCAGAUGAGCUUUAAUUCCUGAUUUUCCAUUUCUUAAUUUUUCCAUGUUAAUGAAGACCUAACUUAUAUUUUGUAUGUAUCAGAAAUUCAGAGGUACUGAUUUUCUUGUAUUUAUAAACUGCUGUGCGUAAAUCUGUUUAUUGCUAUAUUAUUAUUUUCUAAGAAAAUACUGCCCGAAUUCGCUCAGCAGAAGCAGCAGACUAUAGUACUUACAAACUCUCUAUUAAGUCUUUUUUUCUCCUGUAAGUUUUCUCCACAUAUAAUAAGCCGGGUCUGCAGAGUAAGGGCUAGCAAAUGCACCUUCACGGGUAACCACCGCAGUUUGAAGUGGCUGCAAGGGAUGUGUGAUGAUCAAGAAGUUGAAUCAAGAUCCAGGUUAUGUAUUUUAAUUUCCACAUUUUUACCACUUUGAGUGUUACUUCAUCUCCCUCUUUCCCGUGGGGGCAUGCUGAGGUUUCCCUCCCACUUUUCAUCAGUGGAUUGUCGGUGUUCUGGGUGCGGGGCAGAGAGUGAGUUUGCGUGCUGCUGCCCUAGGACUCCCCUGAAAGUGUGGCCGCAGAGACUGUCACGGGAGACUCUUCCUCACUUGGCCCCAGCCCAGCUUUCCAGCCUCAUCGGCCGCCUCCACGUGCCCUGCCGUUCUAACGUGUCCCUUCUUCCCGCAGCUCCUCAGGCUGUUGGUUCCAGCAGACAGGAGUCAUCCUCCUGGGGGCCUCACCUCUCCCUACCCUACGCUGUCGGUCCAGGUCAGCGCAGAUGCAGCCACCAUGAAGCCACCCUUGGUCCCUCCCUCCCCAGUCGGGAAGCAAGCAGCUGGAUGAGAGAAACAGGCAACGCUGAAGGCUCUCUCUCGGGGCACGUAAAACAAUCGAGGUCGGCUAAAGCAUAGGAGGCAUGUCAGGUAGUGGCCAGAGACCUUCAAAGGCACCUCUUUGUUUGGCCUUAAAGAGUAAUCCAGCCAUGCUCACUCAGGACAAGGUCGCCGCGGCUGCAGCCCUCACCACUGGGUCCUAUCCCAACGUCCAGUGCUGUGACGAAUGUAGCUUGUAUGCUGACUAUGACCGCCUGCCACCGUGCUUCUGUGACGUAAAUGAGGGACUCUGACUUGGGCGGGCACAGGUAUCUUCAUGCGCAGUAUUUCUUUCCCAGUAGAAUUUAUUAUUCAAGUCAGGUUCAAAUAGUGUUUACAUCAUAUUAUAUACUCUGUCACAUUAUGUAUUUUUGAAUAAAUGUGCAAUACUGAAAAUAA